rnacentral:rRNA from 1 species
UUAGCUAGAUGGUAAGGUAACGGCUUACCAUGGCUAUGAUGGUUAGGGGUUCUGCAAGGAAGAUCCCCCACACUGGUACUGAGACACGGACCAGACUCCUACGGGAGGCAGCAGUGAGGAAUAUUGGUCAAUGGAGGCAACUCUGAACCAGCCAAGCCGCGUGAAGGAAGACUGUUCUAUGAAUUGUAAACUUCUUUUGUGACAGAGUAAAGAUAGCUACGUGUAGUUGUUUGCAAGUAUGUCAUGAAUAAGCAUCGGCUAACUCCGUGCCAGCAGCCGCGGUAAUACGGAGGAUGCAGGCGUUAUCCGGAUUUAUUAGGUUUAAAGGGUGUUCAGGCUGUCUGGUAAGUCAGAGGUGAAAGUCGGUUGCUUAACGAUCGAAUUGCCUUUGGAACUGUCAGACUUGAGUAUGGAUGUGGUAGGCGGAAUGUGUAGUGUAGCGGUGAAAUGCAUAGAUAUUACACAGAACUCCAAUUGCGAAGGCAGCUUACCAAACCAGCACUGACGCUGAAGCACGAAAGCGUGGGUAGCGAACAGGAUUAGAUACCCUGGUAGUCCACGCAGUAAACGAUGCUCACUCGCUGUUGGCAAUACACCGUCAGCGGCUAAGGGAAACCGAUAAGUGAGCCACCUGGGGAGUACGAUCGCAAGAUUGAAACUCAAAGGAAUUGACGGGGGCCCGCACAAGCGGUGGAACAUGUGGUUUAAUUCGAUGAUACGCGAGGAACCUUACCUGGGCUUAAAUGUGAAGUGCAUUGUUUGGAAACAGACAUUUCCUUCGGGACUCUUUACAAGGUGCUGCAUGGUUGUCGUCAGCUCGUGCCGUGAGGUGUCGGGUUAAGUCCCAUAACGAGCGCAACCCCUAUUGUUAGUUACCAGCGCGUAAAGGCGGGGACUCUAACGAGACUGCCGGUGUAAACCGCGAGGAAGGUGGGGAUGACGUCAAAUCAGCACGGCCCUUAUGUCCAGGGCUACACACGUGUUACAAUGGUCGGUACAGAGGGCAGCUAGACAGCAAUGUCAAGCGAAUCUCAAAAGCCGAUCCCAGUUCGGAUUGGAGUCUGCAACCCGACUCCAUGAAGGUGGAAUCGCUAGUAAUCGCGCAUCAGCCAUGGCGCGGUGAUACGUUCCCGGGCCUUGUACACACCGCCCGUCAAGCCAUGGAAGUCUGGGGUGCCCGAAGGCCGUAACCGCA